UAUAUAUGUGAUUAGGUGUAACUGGUUAAACUUAAAGCCGAUAUUUUCUAUCGAACUAGUCUAUUUUCUGUUCAGACACAAAGUUUUCUGAUGGUGAUAUUAUGUCAGUGUGUGUUUGUGUGGGGGUCGUGUGCUGUAAUCUUUGAAAGUUUUAUGACCGAACCUUUAUUGGGGAGCGACAAGAGAUCUCCGUGAUCAGUUUGGAUGGAGCAGAGCUGUUAUACUCAAGUCUAUUGGUAUGUAUGUGUUUCGCUGUGUUCGUUCCAGUAUUUUGUCUGAUUUAUUUAAAAACUAAAAAUUCGAUCUGGUAUUGCAGCGAAAUUGUCUAAACUGGUAUUAACUAUUCCUGGUAAAUCGCGGAGAAGAGUGGAAUGAACAAAAAAAAGUCAGACCGAGACUAGAACCACCCGCAGCGUAACAAGGAAAUCUUGGAGCAAAGAGACGCCGAGUGGCUCGUGUUGUGCGGUUUGGAUAUCUGCUGCAAAGCGAACGUUGUGUGUACUAUUGCAAAAUAACGGAUCUCCCCGGUUAGGAUACAGACCACAACGCUUUGGACGUAUCUUUAAAAAAGAGAAAAAUCAGAGACUUUUUGGAUUUGUCUGGGGACAUUUUAAACAUUUUGUGUCAAAUUGGAUUUAAAACAUUUCGGAUACUGGAUACCUAGUUUGAUUUGUCCACAGAGCUUGUUUAAGACGUUUUCACCUCAUUUUAGGGUUUAUUUUUAAUUAAAGGCUUCUUAAAACAUGUAUGAAAAUGUGUAUAUUAUACAAUGAGUCUUAUAUUGUCUGCUCUGACAAAAAUAAAUUAUUAUUUUAGAUCUUA